rnacentral:rRNA from 1 species
CGGGACACGUGGUAUCCUGUCUGAAUAUGGGGGGACCAUCCUCCAAGGCUAAAUACUCCUGACUGACCGAUAGUGAACCAGUACCGUGAGGGAAAGGCGAAAAGAACCCCGGCGAGGGGAGUGAAAAAGAACCUGAAACCGUGUACGUACAAGCAGUGGGAGCACGCUUAGGCGUGUGACUGCGUACCUUUUGUAUAAUGGGUCAGCGACUUAUAUUCUGUAGCAAGGUUAACCGAAUAGGGGAGCCGAAGGGAAACCGAGUCUUAACUGGGCGUUAAGUUGCAGGGUAUAGACCCGAAACCCGGUGAUCUAGCCAUGGGCAGGUUGAAGGUUGGGUAACACUAACUGGAGGACCGAACCGACUAAUGUUGAAAAAUUAGCGGAUGACUUGUGGCUGGGGGUGAAAGGCCAAUCAAACCGGGAGAUAGCUGGUUCUCCCCGAAAGCUAUUUAGGUAGCGCCUCGUGAAUUCAUCUCCGGGGGUAGAGCACUGUUUCGGCAAGGGGGUCAUCCCGACUUACCAACCCGAUGCAAACUGCGAAUACCGGAGAAUGUUAUCACGGGAGACACACGGCGGGUGCUAACGUCCGUCGUGAAGAGGGAAACAACCCAGACCGCCAGCUAAGGUCCCAAAGUCAUGGUUAAGUGGGAAACGAUGUGGGAAGGCCCAGACAGCCAGGAUGUUGGCUUAGAAGCAGCCAUCAUUUAAAGAAAGCGUAAUAGCUCACUGGUCGAGUCGGCCUGCGCGGAAGAUGUAACGGGGCUAAACCAUGCACCGAAGCUGCGGCAGCGACACUAUGUGUUGUUGGGUAGGGGAGCGUUCUGUAAGCCUGUGAAGGUGUGCUGUGAGGCAUGCUGGAGGUAUCAGAAGUGCGAAUGCUGACAUAAGUAACGAUAAAGCGGGUGAAAAGCCCGCUCGCCGGAAGACCAAGGGUUCCUGUCCAACGUUAAUCGGGGCAGGGUGAGUCGACCCCUAAGGCGAGGCCGAAAGGCGUAGUCGAUGGGAAACAGGUUAAUAUUCCUGUACUUGGUGUUACUGCGAAGGGGGGACGGAGAAGGCUAUGUUGGCCGGGCGACGGUUGUCCCGGUUUAAGCGUGUAGGCUGGUUUUCCAGGCAAAUCCGGAAAAUCAAGGCUGAGGCGUGAUGACGAGGCACUACGGUGCUGAAGCAACAAAUGCCCUGCUUCCAGGAAAAGCCUCUAAGCAUCAGGUAACAUCAAAUCGUACCCCAAACCGACACAGGUGGUCAGGUAGAGAAUACCAAGGCGCUUGAGAGAACUCGGGUGAAGGAACUAGGCAAAAUGGUGCCGUAACUUCGGGAGAA